rnacentral:lncRNA from 1 species
AUGGCACCACCCUUCGUGGAAGAAAACCUUCGUGAAAUCUUCACGUUCGCUGUUGAAGGUCUGCCGGAGUUCAUCAGGAGGGAAAACCUCGGUGCUCAGAUGGCUUUGGUAUUUCAGUUUCACCUUGCGCUGCUGGUCAGCCUGGGCUUUGCUUUCUCAGCAAAAUCCCACAAGCCCAUUACAACCGUGUGUCCUUUUGGCUCCCUUCUGGGCAGGACGCCCAGCCGCUUGGAUUUGUAAUGAUGCAGGGCCUGGCCAGCCCGGAUCCUACCUUGUCUCACUCAAAGAACAUGAUGUCUUAAAGGAACAUGGAGCGGCUCCUGUGAACUACUGUUCCUGGAAACGCUAGUCGUCCCAUGGACAGCCCGUCUUGGAAAGCAUAUAGCCUUUGCGUCCCCUGCCUGUAUAAGCAACCCCCUCCCUACGCCUGGUAGCGGGUGCACAUUUCCAUCCAGCUGGCCACCACUGGACAUCCGGGUAAGUAAUUCCCAGUAAACCUAUAUGUCUCGUUCCCCAUCUCUGGAUUUUUUCUUCAGUCUCUCUGUGACUUACCCUACACUGCUCACCCAACUGGUCUGUGGCCAGACAAUGCCAAUCAAGUCUCUAGCUCGAACUUUCUUCUUCCAAGUUUGGGCAGACGUUAUUUGGCUAUGUUUGAAUCUUCACAAAAUGUACUGUUAAAGCCAACAGAAUCCUGGUGGGUGACUAUUCUGGACAGCAAAGUUAUGAAGCUUUUUCUCACAGUAUGUGGAAAAAAAGAUUUAGAUAUGGCACAAGAUUCUUUGCAGUGCCUUGCCCAGUUUACUUCUCUUCAUGGACCUAUCUUCCGCCGUGAAGGAUCACAAAUUGAUUAACACACUUCAUUGAAAGAUUACUGAAUACGAUCAAUGAAAUGGAAAUAGAAGAUUCUGAAGUUGUAGGGAUCUCCAGCAUCAUCAGCAAUCUGUUAACAGUAUUUCCUUGAAAUGUUUAAUUGCCGUUCCAAAUGAACUUUUCUCCUCCUUUGUUAACUGCCACACACCUCACUUGUUCUUUUGGGUGAAGUGCUGCAUUGGAAGAAGUCUUGAUAAAGAUGACAUGGCAUAUACCUGGAAGCAUAUGGCAAAAUGCUGGAGUCCUGGCUAACUGAUCCAACAUGAUAAACAUUUCUAUAAAGACUUUUUUACCCAACAUGCUGUUCAAGUUUUCAGUUCUUUUAUUCAGUGCCACCUAGCUGCUCCAAAUGGCACAAGGAAUUUAA